AGAUGAAGCUCUUUUCUUCCAGAAACCUUUUUUCUGUUAUAGUUUCUCAAAAACCCAUUUCUGAAAAUCAAAAGCAUUUCUUUUUGUGGUUAAAGCUUCAUCUGAAGCAUCGAAAGAUGAAGAGUAUGAGGCCUUAUUUGAUCAAGGUUGAGCUUAUGAUUGUGGUCACUACUGCAUUUCCAUGUGGGGUUACAACCGUUUUCAUUCUUCAAUCUUGUAAGGAAAAGAGAAUUGAAUGAGCGUUGGGAAAAUGAUUUGAGAGAAGGCUUACGACUAUACAAGAAUGUGAAGUACGAGGAAGCAUUAGAGAAAUUUGAGUCAGUUUUGGGAACAAAAUUAGAGCCUAAUGAAGCAGCAGUGGCAGGUUUUGAACUCCCACGCUGCAAACAAUGUUCCCACAUCCACAAUUGCCAUGGUGCAACAACAACAACAUCAAGUUGCACAGAUGUAUCCACAAGUUCAUCUUUCACAUUAUGCUAAUCGUAUUCCCCUAUCGUCAGUUUCUAUCUCCAGUCUAUGUACCGCACAUGGCUGUGCCGGGAUACUCAAACAGUGCUCCCUAUCCUCAUCCUACGAAUGGAAACUAUGUAUUGAUGCCUAGAGGCGGUUCCCAUCUUAAUGCCAAUAACCUUAAAUACGGAGUUCAACAGUUCAAACCUGUUCCUGCUGGAAAUCCUACAGGAUUUGGAAACUUUGCUAACCCAGCAGGGUAUGCCAUGUUAGCUCCUGGCGUGGUUGGUGGUGCGUCGGGUCUAGAAGAUUCAUCUCGAGUCAAAUACAAAGAUAAUCUCUAUGUCCCAAAUCUUCAGAAACUUUAGGAUUCGAAGAGCAAACAAGUUACAAAAAUGUCAAAAGGAACUAAAAAACAAACAGCAUCUUUUCACCAAGUGGAUACUGAUGCUAAUGUAAUAGUCAUUUGGAUGAAGAUUGCAUUGGGAGGUGCAACUGGGAUUUGCUAUUUGCACCAUGAAUGUUCUCCACCUGUUAUUCAUAGCAGCAUCUUGUUUGAUGAAGAUUGUGAAGCAAAAAUUGUCACACAUGGUUAUAUUGCUCCAGGAAUGCUAAGUACGAGAAAGCAUUAUAGAAAUCUGAGUCAGUUUUGGGAACAAAACCAGAGCUUGAUGAAGCAGCAGUGGCAAGUUAUAAUGUGACUUGUUGUCACUCUAAGCUAAACCAGGUAUAUAUGGUUGUUUACUUUACAAAUUGUACGUGCUGCAUUCCAUUACUCUGUCAUUGAUUUUGGAUCAUUUUUCUAGGGUACUUAGUCUGUGUAUAACUUUUUGAAUAGAUUAAAUCACUCUCUAUAUAUGUGGAUUAAAUCCCUCAACCGCAUGUUUUCAAUGAUUAAUGUUAUAACAUUUCAAAAACAGUUGGGGUGUGUCGAGUUCAAAGUAAGCCAUUUAAAGAACCAUGUUCCAUCUUAAUAUUAUACAAAUUUAUAUCCAUUAAGUCACACAUUGGCCAGAAUAUCCAUUUAGACCCAUAUGGGAGCACCAAGGUGAUGUGACCCAUAUGGGAUAAGGCUUGAAAGUUUAGGAUUGUGGCUGCACCAUCCUGGCAGUGGAAGGAUCAGACGUCUGCUGAGCCUGCCAAUAUAUCCCACUUUGCCUUUAACACAUUACGAGCAACUACAUCUCCCGAAUUAUAAUCUGCAACACAAACGUGACAGAACAUGGCAGAUUGGUUUGGUGGAGGCACCAUCCUGGACUGUCACUUCUAAAUUGAAAAUAAGCUUAGAUUGAUAUGAAAUAUAAGAGAUUACAAUCUAUAUAAUUAUAUAAGGAGAAAUUAUUCCUCAAAAUUUGAUAUUAGAAUAAGAGAGGGCCGCGCGAACGCAGGCCCCCACUGCAACAAAUUAUGAUGUAGGUUCCACCACUUGGGUAGACCUUAGGAUAGCACCCCUCCUAAGUGCAAUGGAGGUCACUCUCCUAGGCCAUGGUCCUUCAAGAUCAACCAUUGACCCCAUCCAGGUAAGUAUGUUGCAAUGUCGGUAUUCAAGUUAUUUUAUACUCUUGCUUCUCUCAAUACCUUUCAUAUUCUUUCGAUGUGGGACUCAACUACUAUUAGUAGUUAGCAAUGUAUUUCCCACUCUAUUUACUACUGCUUUUUUUUCUCCACUUGAAACCGACCAACUUCAAGCAUUACAGGUUCACUUUGGCUCUUAUUAUUGGAUUGGAUUUUUCGUUCCUUCUUACUUUUAGUUGAAUCGAAAAUUGGUAUUUGCAAUGAAUUUUAACUUCCCUAUUCAUGUGUUUCAUAUUGAGAUCUUUCAUCAGCCGAAUGAAUACUAACUACCUUAUUCUACUCCACUACAUUAUCAUCAAACUAUGUAAAACAUUAACUCCGACUCCGACUUGUGUUGAAGUUGGUUUUUCGGUUGCGUAUCAUGUUUUGUCAGAUGGUGCAGAUGAUUUCACCAAAGCAACUACAGUAAAAAAUUAGUUAAUAACUUUAUUAAAGAAAGUGAUUAAUUUAAGGUGUGAUCUUAGUACUUGGAAUGCAGAAAGUGGGAUUUAGCUUUGCUUUCUAUACAGUGUCUCGGUAACUAAAGUUGGGGCGGAGCAAGCAGAAAGAUGCAAAGCUAUCUUGGAACCAAUGUCUUCCCAGUCCAAUAGUUUCUGCCAAGGUUAGGCACUGCUGCAAAUUUAAUUCUUAAGGUUGCUAAUGCUAUUAAUUAUAAUCAAUUUAUUUAAAUGGCUGGGGGUGUUUGACGUAGCAAACACCUUAAAUUAUAAUGUAAAGAAAGGGAAAGCCAUUGGUUAACAAUAAAGUAUUUUCAAUAAAGUAGAGAGAAUUGUGUAGCUCAAUAUGUUUGUGUUAAGACUUAAAAGAGUUACAAGACCCAUGUUCAAAAUUGGGUGUUGGAUAAAAUACAAAGAUAACUACAUUUGUUUAUCUACAAAAUAAUAAUUAGUAUCCCAGAGAUUUAAGAAGCACUUUCAAUCUGUUAUUAAAAAUGUUUGAUGAAUCAAUGUCAUCAAAUCAUUUCUUUGUGUUGGCACAAGAAAGCAUACAUUUUAGCUGAAAGUAUGAUUCUGUCACAUUUAUUUUUGUAAUUGCGUUUCAUUUUUUACAAAAUGCCCACGAAAUGAUAAUUUAUGAAUAUUCUCCAUAUAUUGAUUGAAUGAUAAUUUAUGGGGUUGGAAUUGGUCAUGUUGGAAUUUUGUAGAAAGUCUUUGAUGUAUUUGUAUUGUUACAGAUUGAUGGUGCUAAAAGGGUUGGUUAUGAAAGAGUUGAAUUGGACCUAUAAAUACUACUUUACUCUUUGGGAAUCAUCAUACCCUUAAAGCCUAUCUUAUACUAAAGUUUUAUUGAUCUUGCAGACAUCUGAUCAAAGUAGGUUUCUAGGGUACGAGAAAGCAUACAUUUUAGCUGAGUAUGAUUCUGUCACAUUUAUUUUUGCAGUAGUGUUUCAUUUUUUACCAAUUGUGGAUGAAUGAUAUUUUAUGAAUAUUCUUCAUAUAUUGAUUUAAUGAUAAUUUAUUGGAUUGGCGUUGCUCAUGUUGGCUUUUUUUGUAGAAAGUCUUUGAUGUAUUUGUAUUGUGAUGGAGAGUGAUGGUGCCAAAAGGUUAGUUAUGAAAAACUUGAAGCAUAUUUUAUCCUAUAGUUUUAUUGAUUCCAAAUCGACUGAACCUUUGUAAUGACUAGUUAAAUGACAUAAAACUUGGUCAAGCUAUUUGUAGUGGACUCUCCUUUAUGAGAAUCCCUUAAUUAAGUUGUUUAUUAUACAUGAGCUUAUUUGGUCAAGAUUGAGCUUAUGAUUCUGGAGUUUUAUAUAGCAUUAAUAUUAUUUUACGAGAAUCGCCUCUUUGAAUUAAUGUGACUUUAGUACUUUGAGAUUAAUGCAUUAUAAGCUUUUCAAAUAAUCCAUGUAGCUACUUAAAUGACUUUUCAUAUACUAUCAUGACUAAUGGCUAAUAAUCACAUUCAUUAUAAUGAUCAUUAAUCUCAACAUUUUGAAUUUGACUUUGAUACACUUUUGGUCCGUAUUGUUUGAGAUAUGACUGAAUCAAUAUGUUCAACAUCGACACUUUUCUUUUUGUUGGAAACAAAGGUUCAUGUGUUGAGAAAAUCCCAACAUCUGUAGUGCUAAUUUUGGGACCGAAGUUUGGCAAACUGCGGAACAUGUAAGAACAAUGUACACAAUUUGUCAAUAAAUGGGCACGUGAUUCAUGAGAAUGCAGAAAAGAUAUGGUUAGUUUAUUUUGUAAUCUGUAUGCAUUUUAGCAAUUAUCCCUGAUUCGCGAACCUUGGUUUCCAUUUUUUCACAGGAAAGAUAGAAAUUAGUGGUGAGUUCACUGAUAGGAGAUCAUCCGAGCUGAGAGUGAACUUUGGUGUAAUAAGUUACAAAGUCAGCAAAAUUCAAGGAAGUCUCAUCAUAUUUAAACUACAAAAUUCUAAUUCUUAAAUUUUCAAUCCCUUUUUUAUAUAAGAUAUUUUAUUUUCUAAUGAAACAUCUCACUACUGUAUUUCCAUGUGGGGUCACAACUGUGUUGGUUCCUUAAUCUUGUAAAAAAAUUCCAGAUGCAAGACUACCUUGGUAAAAAGAAUUGAAAGAUCACCGGGAAAAUGAUUUGAGAGAAGGCUUACGACUACACAAGUUUGGUGGGGUGUGCCAUGCUAUUGCUAAAGUGCAACGCAAAAGCGACACUUGAGAGACCCAAUAGCAAGCUAUUGAAGUGGACUCUCCCCCUCAAGAAAUAAAUUUAAUAUCGUGUGGACCAUUGGCCCACAUAUCAGAUAUUAAACUGAUAAGAACCGAUACUACAUUUGAUCUUAGCCAAAAGGCCGAGAAAGGUAUGAGUUUAAAUGCAUGUUUGUUUUGUGCUUUAUAUUUGACAUGUAUUAUAUUUCUUCCUUCACUAACCGAGGCGGGACUCUUAUGCAGCAACUUGGAGACUACAUUUCCCUCUCCUUAACUUAGAAAGGCAUUAAGUCUCAUGAUUGCAUACUUGCUAACAUCUUAGAACACAAGCUGAGGAUAUCUAUGCUCUCAUUUCCUUCCUCUUCAUUCUAAAUAUUUUCACUUAGUAAUUAAACAUCAAGACAUUAUUCACAUAUGACAGCCAAAUUUUCUAUACUAGUGUUCUUAAAUGGUAGUUCGGUUGAAGUGAAACCAUUUUUAUGUCCACGUGUUUAUCAUUUAUUCAAACAAAAUAAUUUCUAACAAUCUCUAGGGGCUGGUGAUUUUAUUUUUGCGAAUUUUCUGUUUAACAUGCUCUGUAUGCUGCGAUGGUUGGUGAAGUUUUCAUAUAAUGAUGAAUUUUGAAAAUGACUUUGGUACACUUUGAGGUUGUAUGAUCAAGUUAUGGUCAUGUGUACAUUACAUGAGGUGUCAUUUUGUAUAUAUAAACUUCAAAAUCCUUUUUUGAAAAGUAAAAUAGUGUACUUUUGUUUGAUCCAUACGGAUUAAGUCCACCAUAUUUUGGGACUGAAACAAAAUUCUUGAUAUAUGAUAAUAAAUUCUGAUGCAAAACUGUCUUAAGGAAAAAACAAUUGACAGAGCAUCAGGAUAAUGAUUUGAAAGAAGGCUUACUAUUAUACAAGUAAAACUACGAGACUCAAAAUUGUUUUCUCUGUCCUUUUUUCAUUUUUAUGAAUAGUUUUUCAUUUAUGAGUGGAAAUAUAUUCUUUAAUCUGCAACAUAUAUUAAGUGAAAUUUCUUCUCUAGAAUUGUUAUUUCACAUAUAUGAUUAUUGUGCAUUUUAGGAAAUUUAGUUUUGCAUUUGCAACUUAUAAACAUGCAUACAUACAAAAAUCAUUGUCCUAGAUUCAGUUAAUCUUUUCCUUUUUUGCUUAAUUGCUUAUUAAAAUAAGGAUUAUAGGAUUUGUGACUUUGUCCUAGUAAAUACAAGAUAUUAUGCAUGACAGAAACAAAACAUUUUCCAUAAAUAAUCUGCAACACCUAGUUUGAGAGGAAAAAAUACUUCAAUUGCAAAGAUAAAUAAAUUGAUGGUAUCUUCCUGAUAAUCUCAUAGUAGUCCAUUAUAUUCCUGGAAUAAAUGGAGAAGGAAUGCUAAGUACUAACAAGGAAGCAUAAGAAAAAAUUGAGUCUGUUUGAAGAACAAAAACAGAACCUGACAAAGCAGUGACAAGUUAUAAUGUUGCUUGUUGUUUUUUAAAGCAAUGUUGCUUGUUGUUUUUUAAAGCUAAACCAGGUAUAUAUGUAUGUUCACGCAUUUCAUCAUUUUUUUAGUGUAUUUAGUCUUCGUAUAACUUUCUAAAUACAUGUAUUCCUUACAUUUAACUCUUUUAUAUGUGUUUGGCUAUUUCACCAUCUCCUAAAACAUGUAGAAAUCAAAAGAAACUACAAAUUAUGAUGUAGGUUCCACCACUUUGAUAGACCUUAGGAUAGCACCCUUUCCUAAGUGUAAUGAAGGUCACUCUCCUAGGCCAUGGUCCUUCAUGAUCAACCAUUGACCACAUCCAGGUAAGUAUGUUGCAAGGAUGGUAUUCAAGUUCUUUAAUACUCUUUCUUAUCCUAAUACCUUUCACCUUCUUUCGAUGUGGGAUUCAACUACCAGUAGGCAAUGUAUUUCCCAAUUUAUGUAAAAUUGAUCGACAAAAGGUUGCACACUGAUAUUGAUUGUUACGUGGAGUCAGAGAUAGCAGAACACAGGUUGUUAUAGUGUAAUAAGAGCAUUCAGACUGCUGCUAAAUAGGAACAUUGGAGAGAAAAUCUGUCAAAUAUUAAAUGCACCGUCAAAGGAGAAAAGAAGUAUCUCCGAAUCUAGUAUUCCCCUUGAAUUAAUGAUCUCCAUUCAAUAGCCAUAGUAACCAUGAAACAACCAAGUAUCAUGCAUUGUCAUACUUUUUAUUGCAGGUUCUUUGAACGUCCAUAUCUUCUGGUUCAAAAUGUAUCAUGCAUUGCCUACCUCUUAUGCCAUUUUGUUGGCUCCAAUGUAUACACACACAUUCGACGUGUUGGAAAGGAUGGGUGACUUUGUUCUUGUGAAGACAAUAAACAUGACAUAAACAACAUGUUUUGAUUUGAAAUGUUAAUCAGUAUUCUGUACCCUAUACUUUCAGUCAACUGCUACUUGAUUCAAUCCUUGCAACACCGACCAUAUCAUUUUUCUCGUUUAAAUUGUACUUUCAAUAUAUGAU